rnacentral:rRNA from 1 species
GGCUAACGCUGGCGGCGUGUCUUAGCCAUGCAAGUCGAGCGGACUUAUGGGGUAACUUAUAAGUCAGCGGCGGACGGCGGAGUAACACGUAGCUAACCUACCCUCUGGACGGGGAUAACCUACCGAAAGGUGGGCUAAUACCCGAUGUAGUCAUCCUGUAUAGGGGUGAUGAAAGGUGGGCUUCUGUUUACAAGCUCAUGCUGGAGGAGGGGGCUGCGGCCUAUCAGGUAGUUGGUAGGGUAAUAGCCUACCAAGCCGAUGACGGGUAGCCGGCCUGAGAGGGUGACCGGCCCGAGGGGCACUGAGAUACGGGUCCCACUCCUACGGGAGGCAGCAGGCUAGAAAUUUGGGCAAUGGGGGAAACCCUGACCCAGUGACGCCGCGUGCAGGAAGGAGCCCUUCGGGGUGUAAACUGCUGUCGUGUAGGGAGAAGGGUACUAAGGUGAACAAUCUUAGUACUUGACGGUACUACAGGAGGAAGCCCAGGCUAACCUCGUGCCAGCAGCCCGCGGUAAUAUAGCGUACU